ensembl:lncRNA
UUUCAACUCAAGACGAGACCCAGAAGAAAAGAUCAGACUGGGAAAUAGUUUACUGUGCACCACUAUCAGCUACCUUGUCCUUAAACAGCUCUGCCCUGCAAUCCAGAACAUCCUUCAAGACGGACUGAAACCCUAUCAAUUAGACUUGAUUAUUGGACAACGACGCAACGAACUAUGGAACGUCAUAGAGGCCACAGCACGACCAGGCUCAUCUACACGACUGUCUGACAGCUUGGUGUCUUUAGUAAAAAAAUGUUCCCAGUUACCAAGUCGCAUGCGGCUCAGUGUCUUCAUCAUAGAUCUGCUAAACUUGCAUGCUUUGGAAUUCUGGAUCCAUCAUUUAUACACAUGCGUUGAUGUUGUGAAGGAACACUAUCACCAAUGGGGUUUCUUGGCUCUGGCCCAGGGGUCAACUUAUGGACCAUUGUUCCAAGAGCUGCUUCUUUUGCUGCAGCCACUCUCCCUGCUGCCAUUUGACCUCCAUCUUCCAUCAGAAACUCACCUUCAGAGUAAUGAAAAGCAAAAGAACAGAGCACCCCUGCCUCAACGGCUUCUUGGCCAGUCAGCUCAGAUCCUGCAGAUGAACUCAAUCCAGAAGAAAAGCAGGAGUCCAACAGGUCACAGUGGUGCCUUUAGUAAAAGGGUAACUGACAGAUUUUGGCUCAGUCAGACACCCAUCUCAGAGUGUAGAACACAGAAGAAAGAGGAUGAAGGAACCAGAAUGGAAAACAGUGAGACGUC